GCACCUGAUAGGGACGUAUUGAUUUAAUGAAUGAUUUUUCUGUUUGUAAGAGACCAAUGGAACAGUUUGCUUCCUUCCAGCAGGAUCAGCAAUACACCAUCACCAUCCUACCUCAGCUAUACUCUCUCCAGCCUUCUGUUACAGCCUGUUGUACAGGAAUUCCCUUUCUCUUUCACUGGACAUCACUCCAGUCCCUCACACUAGACGUAUGAAUAGACCUGUUGAACAAGAAGCCGCCAUUUCACUGGACAGCUUGGCAUACUUAUUUGCCUAGAUGCCUGCUUAGUUUGGCAGUGGCAAGAGCUCUUCAUAUCAGAACUGAUUUGGGGCCAUUGGGGAGGAGAUGCUGACCUUCUAACUGUAAUCCAACUGCACGCAACUAUUCUAAAGAAGAUGAAAGCAUUUUUCACCCCUUUGUUGUGUAAUAAAUACAGUCUUUAUAUUUUGUUGCAUUUUAAGUUUGAUUUUAUAAUGAUCUGUGAAACAAAAUUGUUUUCAAUAAAC
rnacentral:lncRNA from 1 species